rnacentral:tRNA from 1 species
AGUUAAUUAAACUAAAAGCCUUCAAAGCUUUAAAUAAAGUUAGUACUUUAAGCCUUA